GCUUCUUGGGCUUUAUUUUUGUGAAUAGUGCAGGUGGGAGCUCCAGUUUACAAGUUCAUUUUGUUUUCUUUGCUGUGCUGUGGACUUGGAUACAACACAAAUUCUCUGGCGGGACCGUUAACUGUGUCUGACGAACAGGGGCUCAUUCAACAUGCAGCAAGCUGACCUACUUUCUACGCAAUAUUUUUAAAAGAUGAUGAACCAUUAAAAUCAAUAUAUGUAAGUGUCCAGACUGUUUCCAUGGUGCUAACACUAUUUUACACAGCUCCAGUCUCUUUACAGGCGUGAUCACUUAGAGGAACAAUCCAGUUUUCUUACUUUGAGGGUUAUGACUCACUUUUAUAAUACUUCAGUGGGCACUGGCACAUUCUUCAGUCUUUUCUGGUGAGCUUUUCUCGGAGUUUAAAAAUGGAAUUUGUGAACAUUUAAUUAACAACGAGGCAUUUUUGCAAGCUUUUUCAAUUAAU
rnacentral:lncRNA from 1 species